rnacentral:rRNA from 1 species
AUGGAUAAAGGCAAAUUUUCCUCCUCGGCUUUUAUCUUUCAGGUCCAUCAUCUCAAGCCUAUCAUCACACACAAAUGUUCUUUUUACUGCAUAGUUUUUUGUUCUGAAAGUGAGAUUGCCAUCGCUGAACAUGAGCUGAAAAUAAGUGUUUGUCAACAUUAUUAUUAUGUAAUAUUUGGCGCUUCUUCAUAUUUCUCAUCCAGUGAAUUUAGCAAGUCCGAGACAAAUGUAUUGAACAAUUUUUCGGCCUCACCGUCAAAUAAAGUGCAACUUGUAGUAGUCGUACAGUCAUUAAUUUAUUGUCAAAUACGAUAA